rnacentral:rRNA from 1 species
CCUACGGGAGACUGCAGUGGGGAAUAUUGCACAAUGGGGGAAACCCUGAUGCAGCGACGCCGCGUGAGUGAAGAAGUAAUUCGUUAUGUAAAGCUCUAUCAGCAGGGAAGAAAAUGACGGUACCUGAGUAAGAAGCACCGGCUAACGACGUGCCAGCAGCCGCGGUAAUACGUAGGGGGCAAGAGUUAUCCGGAGUGACUGGGUGUAAAGGGAGCGUAGACGGCAGUGCAAGUCUGGCGUGAAAGGCGGGGGCUCAAACCCCGGACUGCUCUGGAAACUGUACGGCUGGAGUGCAGGAGCGGUACGUGGAAUUCCUAGUGUAGCGGUGAAAUGCGUAGCUCUUAGGCGGACCACCAGUGGCGACGGCGGCUUACUGGACUGUAACUGACGUUGAGGCUCG